UACGGAGGGUGCGAGCGUUAUCCGGAAUUACUGGGUUUAAAGGGUGCGUAGGCGGCUUGGUAAGUCAGGAGUGAAAGUUUGCAGCUCAACUGUAAAAUUGCUUUUGAUACUGCCGAGCUGGAAUCAGGAUGAGGUCAGCGGAAUGUGGCAUGUAGCGGUGAAAUGCAUAGAUAUGCCAUAGAACACCAAUUGCGAAGGAAGCUGGCUAGACCUGUAUUGACGUUGAGGUACGAAAGCGUGGGGAGCGAACAGG
rnacentral:rRNA from 1 species